rnacentral:rRNA from 1 species
UACGUAGGUGACCAGCGUUGUCCGGAUUUACUGGGCGUAAAGAGCGCGCAGGCGGUCGUUCAAGUCGAGUGUGAAAGCCCCCGGCUCAACUGGGGAGGGUCACUCGAUACUGAUCGACUUGAAGGCAGGAGAGGGAAGCGGAAUUCCCGGUGUAGUGGUGAAAUGCGUAGAUAUCGGGAGGAACACUAGUGGCGAAGGCGACUACCUGGCCUGUUCUUGACGCUGAGGCGCGAAAGCUAGGGGAGCAAACGGG